UACGUAGGGUGCAAGCGUUAAUCGGAAUUACUGGGCUUAAAGCGUGCGCAGGCGGUCGUGUAAGACAGAUGUGAAAUCCCCGGGCUCAACAUGGGAACUGCAUUUGUUACUGCACGGCUGGAGUGCGGCAGAGUGUGAUGGAAUUCCGCGUGUAGCAGUGAAAUGCGUAGAUAUGCGGAGGAACACCGAUGGCGAAGGCAAUCCCCUGGGCCUGCACUGACGCUCAUGCACGACAGCGUGGGGAGCAAACAGG
rnacentral:rRNA from 1 species